AGGGGUAACAGGGAAUAGUUUACUAUUUUGCUGACGACCGGCGCACGGGUGAGUAACGCGUAUACAAUUUGCCUUUUACAGGAGGAUAGCCCAGAGAAAUUUGGAUUAAUACUCCAUGGUAUUACGAGAUCGCAUGGUUUUGUAAUUAAAGUUUCGGCGGUAGAAGAUGAGUAUGCGUCCUAUUAGCUAGUUGGUAAGGUAACGGCUUACCAAGGCGACGAUAGGUAGGGGUCCUGAGAGGGAGAUCCCCCACACUGGUACUGAGACACGGACCAGACUCCUACGGGAGGCAGCAGUGAGGAAUAUUGGUCAAUGGAGGCAACUCUGAACCAGCCAUGCCGCGUGCAGGAAGACUGCCCUAUGGGUUGUAAACUGCUUUUAUACAGGAAGAAACUUACUCACGUGUGGGUAACUGACGGUACUGUACGAAUAAGGACCGGCUAACUCCGUGCCAGCAGCCGCGGUAAUAUGGAGGGUCCAAGCGUUAUCCGGAAUCAUUGGGUUUAAAGGGUCCGUAGGCGGGCGAUUAAGUCAGAGGUGAAAUCCCACAGCUCAACUGUGGAACUGCCUUUGAUACUGGUUGUCUUGAGUUACAGUGAAGUAGAUAGAAUAUGUAGUGUAGCGGUGAAAUGCAUAGAUAUUACAUAGAAUACCGAUUGCGAAGGCAGUCUACUAACUGUUAACUGACGCUGAGGGACGAAAGCGUGGGGAGCGAACAGGAUUAGAUACCCUGGUAGUCCACGCCGUAAACGAUGGUCACUAGUUGUUGGAGCUUUAUGCUUCAGUGAUUAAGCGAAAGUGAUAAGUGACCCACCUGGGGAGUACGAUCGCAAGAU
rnacentral:rRNA from 1 species